CCUGGUGGCUAUAGCACAAUAGUACCACCUGAUCCUCAUGCCGAACUCAGUAGUGAAAUGUUGUAGCGCCGAUGGUAGUGUGGGGUUUCCCCAUGUGAGAGUAGGACACUGCCAGGC
rnacentral:rRNA from 1 species